rnacentral:misc_RNA from 1 species
CGCUUAACUCGUUUUCUAAGCUUAUUCUAGGGCUUUGAUUUCUCCGGCCAAUGGCGUUUUUUCCGUCUUCAUCAUCAUCACUGCCGGAGAUAUCACUGCCGUCUUCUCCGACUUCAGCAUCAUCCUUGGAGUUUCCUGUUUUACCAGUUGCCGCUUUGAAGAGCAAAAUCAUCCAGAAAAUUCAGGAAAAUCGAGUCACUCUAAUCAUCGGGGAAACUGGUUGCGGAAAAAGCUCGCAAGUCCCUCAGUUUCUACUGGAAGAAAACAUGGAACCCAUAGUUUGUACACAGCCAAGGAGAUUUGCGG